GGGGGAUAUUGCACAAUGGAGGAAACUCUGAUGCAGCAACGCCGCGUGAGGGAAGAAGGUCUUCGGAUUGUAAACCUUUGUCCUUGGUGACGAUAAUGACGGUAGCCAAGGAGGAAGCUCCGGCUAACUACGUGCCAGCAGCCGCGGUAAUACGUAGGGAGCGAGCGUUGUCCGGAUUUACUGGGUGUAAAGGGUGCGUAGGCGGCUCUGCAAGUCAGGCGUGAAAACUAUGGGCUUAACCCAUGGACUGCGUUUGAAACUGUGGGGCUUGAGUGAAGUAGAGGUAGGCGGAAUUCCCGGUGUAGCGGUGAAAUGCGUAGAGAUCGGGAGGAACACCAGUGGCGAAGGCGGCCUACUGGGCUUUAACUGACGCUGAGGCACGAAAGCAUGGGGAGCAAAC
rnacentral:rRNA from 1 species